AUUCCAGCUCCAAUAGCAUAUAUUAAAGUUGUUGCAGUUAAAAAGCUCGUAGUUGGAUUUCUGGCAUGAUGCGCCUGGCCCGCCGUGAUUACGCGUGUGUGUGCUAGUGCGCGUCUGCCAUCCAUUGGCAGAAUAUGUCUACCCUUAAUUGGGCCGGAUAUGUGAUGUCAAUCUUUUACUUUGAAAAAAUUAGAGUGUUUAAAGCAGGCAUUUGCUAUGAAUACAUUAGCAUGGAAUAAUAAUCUAGGACUUCGGUUCUAUUUUAUUGGUUUCUAGAUCUGGAGUAAUGAUUGAUAGGGAUAGUUGGGGGUGCUAGUAUUAAGGGGCCAGAGGUGAAAUUCUUGGAUUCUCUUAAGACUAACUUAUGCGAAAGCAUUCACCAAGGAUGUCUUCAUUA
rnacentral:rRNA from 1 species